rnacentral:lncRNA from 1 species
CAAAAAUUGACAUUUAAAAAUUUUCACAAAAUAAACUCCAAAAUACACUUUUGUACUAAUCAAUUAAUAGCAUCUGCAAUAAAUAAGUUUUCUACAAUAAAUAAAAUUUGUAGAAAAGAACUAGCCAAUGUGAGGCUUGAUUGUAACAACGAUAAAAAUAAUGUACAGAAUUUCACAUUAAAUGAACAUAAGUAUUUGCUUGAUGAUUCAUGUGGCCACCCUCAUUGCACCCUUGAUCUUCAUGCAUCCAAGAAUAUAUGAAGCACUUUCCGUAAUCAUUAUACUGAAAUAAUGAAAUAACAUGAUCUUGUGAGAAACUUAUAUUUGAAUUAUCAAAAUAUAUAUCGAUUUAAAUACAUGUACAGUUAGUAAUUAAAAAAAUUCAAUAAAUUAUGGAAUAAGAAAAUACUUAGCCAUGAAUCAAGUGAAAAAAUUCUAAACUCUUUUCAACACAAAAGGCAAAAGAAAAUGCAUUUAAAUAAAUAUCAUAAACUUAAGGAGAUGAAAGAAAGAAGUAAAGCUCACUGCUUGGCUUUAGAAGAGAUUGAAAUUUCUCAAAGGCACAUUUCUCUCGAGCACCCUAUAAAUCAAAAACAAACAAUUGAAGCAAAAACCCAAAUUAAUUAGGUGUAAGACACAAAAUCUAUCAGAUCUUUAACAUCGCACUCACCACUUAUAAAAAAUAAGGCAUAAUAUCUAUCAAUUGUUGGAAUAACUCAUAAAAUUGAACUUAAAAACUCAAACCCAAGUAAGUGUAAGGAAAUUCAAAGGCCCUAUAAUAUAGAGACAUGAGCUUACUUGGGAAGAGACGAACCAAUAAGUUAAUUUUUUUGUCCUUAAAUGAAAAGCAGUGGAGAUACCUUCUUACUCCACUUUGUCUUUCUCACAGAUUUAAAUUAACACCAACUAGUGUGGAUGAAAGAAAUAAGAAAAUGGAGAGGGAGAGUAGCGGCUGGGGAAGAAGGAAAAGUUUAGGUUUUGGUACGGUUUGGUGGU